CACGCCCUGCACACUGCAGUCCCACUGUAGCUCUGCUGCAGGCAGAGGAGAGGCAGAGGGCUUCUCCUGCUUUGGACUCCUUUUUAAGCAUCUCACGCCAAACUUGGUGACAAAUUCCCAUUCUCCCAUCUGGGCAGUAUUCAUAGAAUGGCUCAGACUGGAGGGGAUCAUAAAGAUGAUGGAACUCCAAGCCCCUGCUCUGGGCAGAUAAUGGAAGGGAAGGGAGGAAAAAACACCUCCGCUUUGAGAAGCACCCACCGCACCUCCCCACUCCUGGUGGAUUACGGAGGAAACAAGGAAGGAACAAAUCCCCUUCAAUUGAAGGUGUUUCCUGCCCAUUUCAAUAGGGCAGAAUGGCAACCUGCUGGAACCUCCUGGGAGCUGCCUUUCAGGAGGCCAAACCAGCAGUCAGAAUGGCUGAUUUUAUUCCCAAACAGUGGGAAAUGUGCUGAGACACACAGCAGAGGUUUUAUCACUGCUUUGGCAAACUGGGGAUUACCACCCAAGUACAGUUAAAGUGAAAUUACACUGAAAUAAGUAGAAAGCAAACACCGCCUAUUCGCUUUAACAAAGGUGCAUUAAAGGCAAUUACCAGAAACCACUCUUCAAGGAGUAAAUGGGCUGCAAUGAAGCUGUCAGCAGCCCAGCAGUGGGGGAUGUGCUCCUCCCUCCCCCCCUACCCCCCCAGGGAGAUGCUGGGUACCACAGGGAACCAAUACUCCCUCCUCCUCUACAAUGAAGGCAGAGAUGUGCCACUGUCACACACUUCCCAGCAAGGACACAUCGCUGGGGUUGGAUGAAACCAGUGGGGCUGUGAGUUCCCAUUCCCCUGUUUUCUCUCCUGGCUCCAGGAGGGCCAGCAAACACGUUGGGUAAACACAGUGCGAGGUCAGCAGGGAUCCCCUUAUCUCUGUACAGGCCUCUGGAAUUCAGUGUAAUCUCCAAGGCCACGUGGAAAAAAAAAAAAGAAAAAGCCAUUUAUAAACUGGUUUCACAGGCACAUUUGGUAAGGAAUGUGAGCAAGGAAAUAGCUGAAAUAGUUCACAUGCACGACGCCAGCGCAGCACCACCGCAUCUUCAUGUUUUUGUAGUCGCUCUAAACCUAUUACCCAAGGAAUUCCUGCAUGCACAGAGGAGGUAACAUAGAGCCAAAGAACAGUUCUGUAAUGAAAACCCUCCUGCCCCACUUCUCUGAGUGCAUGGGAGAGCAGAGGGUGGGAGGAUGGGAGGAACCAGCCCUGUAAUUACAUGUCAGUGAGCUGAAGCUGCUGCCUCCACUGCCCUAUGGGUGCUGUGCAGGGCACAGAAUCACAGCCCCAUAGAAGCAUUAAGGUUGGGAAAGACCUCCCAGAUCCCCAAACCCAGCCCACCAACCACGUCCCCAAGUGCCACAUCUCCACGUCACCUCCAGGGAUGGUGACCCCACCACUCCCUGGGCAACUGUGCCGCUGCCUUUUGGAGAAGGAAUGCUUCUCAGUAUCCAACCUGAGUGUCCCCUGAGCCUCCUCUUCCUCAGACUGACCCAUCCCACUCCCUCAGCCUCUCCCCAUAGCAUUGUGCUCCAGACCCCUCACAGAUCAGUCACCCUUCUCCAGACACACUCCAAGACCUCAGUGUCUUUCCAGUAGUGGGAAGGCACAGCACUGAGUACACAGAGACCAUCAUUGGGAGCUGAAGGCACCAAGGAAAACAGAGAGAGCAGUGCCCUGGUGCAUCCCUGCAGCCCAAGAUCAAGUAGACGACAUCUGGGGUACAAACCAACACUCAGCAAUUUCUUCGGAGGAGUCCUUCUGGCCAGGGAUGGUCCUGCAGGUGCCUUCCAACGCACGGCUCCAGCUGCACCACUCUGCCCAAGCACCAUCAAAUCCACCACUGCCGCUGCUUCCCACCUCCCAACCAAGGGCAAUUAUCUCCUGCUAUUCCUUUGCCUCUGCAUCUUUACGAUCUGCUCAGCAUUGAGAUGCAGUUCAGGUUCACAGGAGUACAGGCUGCUGCUUUGCUUUUCCCUAAUGAUUUAUGAUGUGCUUAACGCAGCCGUUUGCAGGAACGUGCCAUGGAGCAGCAGCAGGGCUGUGCCCAAAGCCCCCAAACUGCUCUCCCAAACCUACAGGGCAGAUGCUCAAUGGCAGAUACCAGCCCCAAGCCUCCCUGGGGGCUGCAGGGGCUGAGCUCUGUGUGCCACCUCCCAAGGCUGCUCACCCUGCUGUGGUCCUUGGGACGUGCCCCAGAGCCAAGGGCUGCCCAUGUGCCAUGUUAGAAUCUCUUCAGCCCUUGCUGAAAAGUUCCUAAUCUGUAUCCAAGUCAGAAAUGUAACUGCACCAAAAAAACCCACACAACACCAAAAAGACCAACAACAACCAAGCCCCAAAACCAACCAAAAAAUCCCCAGCACAACUGCACACAAACCCAAGGAAAACAGAAUACAUAACUACAGCACUUGUCGCUGUGAGGAAACAAAACCUCUUCCCUGAUGAUGAAUUAUACUUUGCUCGCAACAGAUGCAGCUCUUUAUAUUUGUUUUCUGCAUAAAUCUACAUAUUAGCCUGAAAGCAACUGUAUGUGCUUUGUCUUGCUUUGGUUACAUCAGUCACUGCUCAUUUUAGCUGAUUGCCUUGCAGUGCUGGGAUGGGUGCUCUGAACAGAGCUUAGUUCCUACAAACAGGCCUGUUAUGGAGUUUUUCCAGCACCAACAGAGCCUGGUGCUUCUGCAGGGGCCGUGCCAUGGCACCCUGUGCCAUGCCAUCCCAUAGAAGCCCAUGCCAUGCCCAACAUGGCUUGAGCUGCCUCUCCAUCACACAGGUACGGGAGCUGCCAAGGUCUGAUCCUGCAGUGGCACUUACCGCCCAUUUACAAUUGAUUGCUGUAGUUUAAUGAGUUGUAUUACUUGGAAAUGCCUGCUACAUCCCAGCCCUGCUGUGGCUGGUGAAGGAGAAACAUGGAGUGACUGUGCCCAUUGCAGCCCCAAUGUCCUUGGACAGGGAUGCGGGCAGCAGGGGUACACUGCAGCCACCCCAAGAAAGGGAAACUCAAGGGGAUCCAAUGCAAUUAUGUUAUUAAGUGGUGAGUGCAGUAUUUCAGCUUUCCAUAAUCUCAUUUAAUGCUAUCGGUGUCGAGUUAAAUUAUUUGUAAUUGUUUUUACCAAACGCAUCUGAUGAAUUUAUGCUUUUCUCUGUAGGCUCGUAAAUUUAUUUUCCUCUCCUUAAGGAGUGUUAUUUAAUAUCCGUGUGCUGGAAAUCAAAGUGACAGAGCAAGUCAACAAUUACUGCAGCGCUUCGUUAAUGGGAACGGGUCUGUCCUACACCCUCACCCUGGCCCCGUGUGUGAUGGAAGCAGCUCAGGGGUUGGGGUGGCCACACUGGGCUCCUGCUGGGCAGAUCCCUGCCCGUGGCCAAGAGGAUGCAGAAAAAUGUUUUCUUAAUUAAUUGAGAAUUUGAAAGAUCUGCAGCCGACAGCUCCGAUGUGAGCUGAGCAGUGGGUCAAAUGUAUGCUGAACUCAGUGCUGGGGAAGGAUGGCAAAAAAUAGAAAGCAAAUUGCCAUGACCUAUUCCUGUAAUGAAAAGGUCUAUUUCUAAUCCGUGCGCUAUUUAAGCAGAGGUAUUUCCAGCUAAUCUCCAACCAUAACCCACUUAGGCAGAGCUGUGUGCACGAAGCAGAGGCUGCACCCUCAGCACAGUGCAGCAGGACAGACUGACAUUGCUGCGUUGUGAUGGGGAACAGCGAGCUGCUGCUGGGCACAGAGCAAUCCCAGGCCUCUGGGCUGCCCCAGUGCGUGGGGGGAGCUGACCCUGCUGGGAUGGGAUCCUCCAGCCUGGGCUGCUUGGAUGAGAGCUCCAAGUCUCAAUCUCUGCUGCUGCCAUCUGGAUCACACUGUACCCAAUGCAAGACAAGAGGUGCUCCAAGACAACAUCUGAACACACCAGCUGUGCCUACAAAAUGCCUUACAGAUCAGGGUGCCCAGCACAGGAGCUCCACGACAGAAGAAGCAAUAGAUUGAGCUCAGCUCCCAAGAGCUCCUGCUAUUUGUUUUGCACAAGUCCUGCAAGGCACAAACUUCAGCUAUCCUGAAGGUGCGAGGUAGGCGGGCUGGGUAUUUUUGAACAUGCUGCAAGAAAGCCUGAUGUCAACAUUUGCAUUCAUCCUGCAGUGCUACUAAGCCUGAUCCUGUAUCACAGCAAAAAACCUGAAGCUGACUUCCAUGACCCACCCAGACUAGAUACAAUGGGGAAGGCACCAAAGGAGCAGAAGGUGAGGAGGGGGCAGGAGGGGACGGGCUGCUGUGCUCUGCCCUGCUGCUGACCCAGGGGGUUCCCACUGACACUGGAACCAGUGGCACAGAAAGCCAAUAAUCCUCUUACUGGCCUGGCACUGCCCGUGCUGUGCUCCAAUUAGUGGCGGCAGUGGCUCAGCCUUGCUGGGGCUGUUAUUAAUUACAGGAGGAAGAGGGAUGGAGGAGAUUUAGAGCACAUCUGCUGAGGGAAAGGAGGGCAGAGGGGAAAACGCUUUGCGGGUUUGUGCUGUUCCACUCUCACUCUGCUCUCAUUCUGCCCCCAGAACGGAGCCCCUCCCCCAUUCAGUAUAUAAGAUGCUACACAAAAUACACCCCAAGUGCCGCUGCUGCUCCUUUUGUCGCUGUUCCAUUUCAGUAUUCCCAGAUGAUUUUCACCCUGGGGAAAAACCUGAAUCCCCCACUCCAAGCAGGCACAGUGGGAGCAGCCAUCCUCCCUCAGCAAGAGGGCUGCACGCCUCAGGAAACUCAUCCUAAAGCCUCAGCAGACUGCACAGCCCUCCCAGUUAACAGCAAGGAGCCCUAAGUCACGAGAACAUAAGUAAGGCAUGAGGUGUCAGCUGGGUGGCACAGGGAACAGCUUUGGUGAGCACAAAUCUCCGCUUCCCACCACACUGCCAGAUAAAAUUGGGCAUGUCUCUAAAAGGAUGUGGUGCUUAAAAAUAGGCUGCUUUGUCCCAAAGGCUUUUACAGAGAGCUCAAGGCGGUUGCAUGUGUCACACUCCAUGGGAGAAGAUGCAGUUUGGGGUACCACCCACCCAGCACCCCAGAGCUGGAGUGGGAUCCCCUUCUGUCAGGCAGCACUCAUUGCCCUAACCCUUACCAUGAAGCCUCUGUUCUGCCACCCCUCUCCCUGCUUCCACUGAUGUACCAUGCAUGCAUGACACAGCACAGUUUUGCAAGACACGGUGCAUGCCACACUUAUCUCUGCACUGGUUCAGGGCUACGGGUCGCAGCCACACAGCCCAGCACCUGCCAUCACAGCAAUACAGUAUCUGCUCCUCCUCACACACAGGGACUGCAGGCAAAAAGCAGAGCCUACUGCAAUGAGACCUCUCUCUCUGUGAGGCAGUCAGAAGCCCAAAGGCUCUCCCUUGCACUCACAAAUGACCGCCACUUUAGAGCCAUCCUGGAUUGCUUUGCGCAAUCUCCGCUGCCAGACACACGGGUCAAGUCCAAGUCAUACUUAUCAAGAAACAAAAUGAGGUUCAAAAUAUUGUCUGAGGGUGCAGCAGGGUCUCUGUGGAGGCUCCUGUGGCUUUGCCUGAAACACACUCAACAUCACUGCAGGAUGUACCCACAGACCUUGCAGGCUGCUGAAUCACAUCUGCUACAAAAAGCCCCAGCUCCUGAGCCUGGCUCCAGCCCUGCACGCUGCUGAAGGCACAGGGGCUGUGCUGAGCUCUGAGCUGGGUCAGGACCGGGACCUGGGGAGCUGAGCACUGUGCAGGGUCUUCACACCAGGCAGGGAUUUUCUACCUGCACCCUCAGGCAUUCACACCAUUCGCGUGAUCUGCCUCCCAAGCCACAUUUCUGCACAGAAAGGGAACGAGCCGCUCAAAGCAUCGGAUGCGCACCGUACUCACGUUCAUCUUCCAGAGCUGCCCUCCUCUUUCAAGCCAUUUUGUGAGAAAGCCCAGUCGCUCACCGCCGCCUACGGCAUCUCUGCCUGCGUGCCCUGCAAGGACCCGGGCUCCAGAGCAGCCCUUAAUCCAUCCAGCACCAAAGGUCCGGGCUCAGCCCUGCAGCUGAGGGAUGCCCGGUGCCACCAACACGUUCUCUUCUGCUCCAGCCCGCGAUGGACGGAGGUGUCCCCAGGCAGUGCUGAGCUCUCCAAAGCCGUCCCUUUUACGUUCUCCGACCUUGCGAGGAAAAUCCUGUCUCGUUUGAAUUAUUCAUCAUACUUUCUGUUCUGCCAGCUCCGGCAUACGUUCUGAAUCAUUAAUAUGGCACGACUUUUUAUCUCUUUCUUUUUUUUUUUUUUUUUUGUACUUUUAUCUUCUCUCCGACGCGACUCCCUUCUUUAAAAAUAACACAAUCACCGGUGUGUUAAUUAGCAUUCAGCUGAUUUACCAAAUAAAAAGCCGUCUCCGUCCUGAU